CAAAAAUUAUUAUUAUCAUUUUCAAUUCGUUACUAUAUAAAUGUUAUCACAAUCAUUGUUCAACCACGUGGAACCAUAACAGACAUUUGAAUACCAUCCAAAGAAGUAAGAAAAAUUCAGCAUUUUUGUCCUGUGAAAUAAAUAUCGUUAACGUAUCCUGUAUGGCCAUUUUAGCUCUGAUGGAUUCCCUAUCAUAUUUAGCCUAUAUUUUAGUGCCUCAGGUUGACUUUGAGGUUGGCUACCAAUGGCAGACAGUCGUCGUGUGGGACCGGUAUAGGCCGGCAAAUCUCUUGCCAAAUCUAUUCGCUCAAACCUCACACGCACAGACAUUAUCAAAAGCGGUAAUGAACUUAGUUGUUACCCGUUAAGCUUAGUUGUUUUGCCAUGCCGUUCGAAUUUGAGAAGUGCUACCCCCUCGAAUGCAGAUAUACGACAGGUAUUCCUUCUGUUCGAAACGCAAGAUCGAAGUCUGUGAAAAGUCUCUUGACUAUGGCGUGCGUGGUGCUUCUAGGUAGACUCGCUCAGCCAUAGGGAGCUCGUCAAUGUAAACGCACUUUCAUUUCGGCAAAGGAGGCAAAUUGUUAUUAGCAAUGACUCGGUGUUACAACGUUUGCUCAAAGGCAUUGGUCAUAACUAAGCACAGACCGAGUACGCACUUAGUCUUCUCUUUAAUCGUUCACUUAGAGUGUAAGCAAGAAGAGACAUGGUUAAUGCAAGAAACUCUCUCCUACUCUAUACUUAUUGACUGCUUUUAUUGGGGCCCCCUACCUUGGCAGAUCGUUCAAGUAAUACUCUUGAGAGCUACUGAGAUAAAUAUCUCAACGCACCUUCGCCCUUGAAUACCUAUUUUCGUGCUAUGCGUAUAACAGAGACGACCUGAGGCUUUCCAUGCCUAGCAACAGCGCGUCCUUUUAAGUAUCUCCGGAUAUUCCAAACAUUAUUGACUGCCCGUAUCAACUGCUCACAAGUAACGUUUGCAGUCGUUACCCAUUCAUCGAAGUAGAAGUCACGCACCAUGUUUUCGUAUAUGAUUCAAAGCAACAGUGAAGAUUUUGUUAAACUAUACAACUGGUUAGCCCGAAUCGCGUUGUUUUCCAAAGCCAGAUGCUAAUAUUACCCUAAAAAUGAUGAGUUGUCGCAAUUGAGCGAUCUGAAGAGUAACCUUUGGACAUGUCUCAUUUAUAAAUCUGAGAGAUGUAAAGAGUAAAGUGCAAAUUAGUGUGAGAUGGAGAGGCAAGGAAUUUGUGGGCGCUUAUAGUAAAUAUAAGCUUGAUAUUGGAACUUUGAACACAUUCGGAAGCUCGUACGUACUCUAUGCAGCUUAACAAACGGGCGUGAUUUUGACGGCAAACGCUCACUGGAGUAGUUCCUAUGCAAACUGCACCGCUCACUGUGGAUGCCCCAGCAUUGAAAGGGUUUUCUUUGCGAUUAGGGAGCAAGCGAUGUCUAGACAGGUCACCGGCCUCGAUUGAUGACAAAAGUGAUUUGGAGCAGAUCGGUACAGAAGAAAGUCGGCGGUUAAACCUGCAGGUAGCGGCUUUUCACAGAUCGCUCCAGACCAGAUAUAAGCAUUGGCAAUGGCGGUGUCAUAUAUCAUUAAUCAUCAUCAAAAAAAGGAGUUGGUGAAGAUCGGACCGACGAGGAAAGUAUCGUACGGUUAGAUGAUACAAGGCGCAUUGUUCUGGUUUCCGCCAACAUUUAGCAUACUGUUGGCGGACACUGCGCGAUUAUGUCGUCCAUUCGAAAGUGUCAUUAAAGCUGCGACGCAUGUUGCAUUUCAGCCAACAGCGAAAAGCGUUUCGCUACGAACUCGAACAGAGGCCGUGACAGCAGUUUGCAGAAAAACAGCUUUAUAAAUGUAGAAAUUUGUGUAGAAUCUUGUUAACUUGGGAAAUUGAUAUGUUUUAUUUAUACAAUGUAAAACUUAGUAAGAUCUACAAAUCCAACAAUAUAGGCUAUGAGCUGCCUUCAUUUAGACUAACAGCCGAAUUAAUGUUGUCGACCUGACGAUACAUAUCGAUCGUGUUAUCCAGUUAUCUCAAGUGAUGCUUAGUAAAACUCGAAACAUUUGUUAAAAAAGUACGUCAAGAAGGUGUUAGGUAUUAUUAGGUAUAAAUUGUUGGUUAUAAUAAACUACAAUAAACACCAACACUAGCUUUUGGGAUUUACCUCGCUAAUUGGGACAAGAUGUGCAAACAUGUUUUGUAGGAAACUCAAGACACUAUUAGAUUCGUCUAGGUACUUCCAUUUUUAAAAUCUCGAUACAUUUUUUUCUUAUCAAAGAAAGUUUGACGUUUAUUCCAUCCUAUAGAUCUAGUCAGCAAAGGAUGCUGAUGGAUUUUUUUUAAAGACGGUAGUUUUUGCUAUUGUGAAAUACCCUGAUAUUCUUGCCGGUCUUUCGUCGCAGCGUACUUGUGGAACCUUUGCUACAUCUGCAUUCAGUAGUUAUUCCCGGGUGAAAUCAAAAAGCAGUAGCCAUACCUAUCAAUAAGUCUACUUAGCUGAUUUCAUUAGUGGGAGACAUUUUUUUGCAAUUAUUUUUAACCUGUCAGUCCCGCUCCACACUCGAAUUGAAAUACAUAUAUGUGUGUAUUACAAUAAUAUAUGUACAAUAAUAAAUAAUAGUAUAUAAUAAGUAUAUGAUUCAGUCAGUCCUAUAUAGGUGUGUUAUAGGUAUAAUAUUUUGCGAUAAAAAUAAGCGGUGAACUACAUGUCAUCAGUAUGAGUUUCUUCACAGAUUUUCGUGAUUACUUCAUUAUAGUCGGAGCAAGCGAAUAAGGUGAAAAUGCGAAGUUUCCUCUAAAUUUGCAUCUGGCCUGGCUUGCACAGUUCUUCAAUGACAUCCAUAAGCAACGUAACUCUUCACGAUCGCGUAUCUCGCUCAUCCUUGCAUUGUAUGCGCCUCCUGCAACUUUUAGUACUCUCUAUUACGGGACUCCCGGAACCGUACCACCAGUAGAUUACCUUUAACUCUUAUCAAUUUGUAUCCGUAAUAGCGCAGAGGAUAACGUGUUUCGAACUAAACUUGAAGACACAUCCUAAUCUGGGUCUAAACUCUACCGCGAAUACAUUCCAUUUUGUGCAUGAAUGAGUUAGCCGUCUGCUGUAAAAACCUAACAGCUUAAACAACGUACGUAAAGCAACCGUUUCCAAUUUACCGUGUUUCAUCGCGUCGUUGUUUCUAUAUGUAACAUGGCUUUCCUUUCUUGAUUAUCUUUACAUUCGAUUUAGCUAUUUUUUGUUUCAGGUAGUGCUUUUACGGGUAACCCAGUAUUAUAAACUUAAAAAAUAUUCUUAGUCUACUUUGGUCUUUGGAGCACUAAAGUAUUUUUGAAUGUUUUUCUUUUUUUUGAACUUUUAUUUUGAAUUUCUAGACACAAAUAGCACAUUGACAAAAACACGGUACUUUUCGCUACUUAGGAAACUAGAAAUGCUCCUUUUUUUUACCUCAUUUCUCUACCCAAGUUUAAAUAGCUUCAAUGAGCGUACUAUGGUCUAGUAUAAAACUAGGAUCAAAAAUCCUUGUACAGCAUUUCAACGAAAUACGUGAGCCGUUACUUUGCCAAAUAUUCAGCAAUAAAAGGCAAAGGUAACGCUUUCACAAUAGCCUAGGGCAUGUCUUCGAAUGCCAAUUAUGAAGCCUUAUUUUUUAAUAAAGAUAAGAUGCGCAAACGGCAUAUUUUUAAUGCGAGUUAUAUUAGAAAUAAGCAUACGACACCUCGAAGAUAGACAUUAAAUGCCAAUACACAGGAAGGCAAAGGACGUACUGCAACCGAUUAGUGAUGUUUAAAGGACCGGGUCUAUGGAUCCGGGGCACUGAUUCGCUCAUGGAAGACGUAUAAUUAUCAAUUUUUUCCAUCCUUUUCAGUUACAAUGUAACGACUUUUUGCACUUAUCGCCAGCUUGCAAAACUGAUAUGCCCUCCUUAAUAAUUGAUCAUUCUGGUGUCCUUUAAAGGCAGUUAAACUUAAUAACAGCUGCCGAGUUGAAACACUAUUUUUUAGCGUUCACCCUUUAUGAACGAUAUUAUAUAGUUAGUAACCGUUAUCCUAAAAUUUAGUCAAAAUAUUAAAUAGAGCUAUUGAUAUUAUUUCCCAAACGUGGCUUAGUAGCUGGUUAACAAAAAGUUAGUUGUUGAAAAAAAUAAUUUAGGUUCAAGUGUAUACGUAAUUUGUCACUAAAGCGAUGACCAAUAAACAAUAAAACACCACUAGGAUUGCAUUAAAACAGUGACUUCAACAUGUCCAACUUGAAUUCACAUUGUUUAAAUGUAUAUAAACAUAAAUUGUAGUCCUUUACGCCCGACUCACAUAAUCAAUUGUAUCAGUUCAUUUCGCAUCAAAAUAAAAGGAAAUUACUACAUAAGUUCAGGUCGUGUGCAUAAUGAUGGUAAAUAUUUUCAAAAAGCAGUGGUCCGUUUUGAAGCAAGACGCCAACUUUCAAUUUAUGUAAAAUGUUAGCGAACAGAGUUCUAGAACUAGGCGUUUGUUUAUCUUUAUUAAACGUAAAUCGCGCCUUUUGCCAUAAUGCACAACGAAUAAAUACAAUGACACAACAAUAUACGACGUAGUUGCGCAAACAGCAUCGCUUUGAAACGAUCAUUAUGAACAUUCAAAAAUAUUUUAUUAUUUACAAAUUUGUAGGUACCUUAAAACAACAAUUUUGAGUUAGUACCGCUACUAUAAUCAUCUCGUUAGCGAUUAGCAACUGAAGAAUACUAAUCUGCUUUCCAUCUUCCACACUGAAUAUGUGAAGAUUAGCUAGCAGUGAGGAUAAAUGUUUUGAAUUGAGUGUUUGUCUUAGGUAAGCAUUGCUCCCAAGUGUCGAUUCCUUCGAUUACCACGAAACGAACUGUGUGUCUGAGGCCGGUUUUAAACCUCACCGCCUGUUCCCUAAGUUUCAUGGGAAAACAGGUUGUAUCAUGUUGUUAAUAGCAAGUUACAACGAAUCUAUGUAUUGAACAGUGAAAGUGACAGGAUAUAUCCUGCAUGUAGACCCUCUUUGGCCUACAUUGCUCGAGUGAAUAUACAAUCACAGAAACAAGUACAACUGUUACCUCAUAGGUAAAUCAAGCCAAUACACUAUAUCACUUGUGCCCUUUGUACACUAUAUCUAGAUACCGCCGCUUGCUUUUGCGAUACUAUAAACAUCGCGCGUUUACACGACUUGAGUUCACAGGAAUUUCAUUAUUCUUUGGAACAUUUUUAGAUUUAUAGUCCAAAGAUGUUGUGAUUUCUUUUCAGUCGCGUUACUAUUAUUAGCUUCGAGGACAGAACACAAGUUCACUUAAAUUCGAAACCUACAAGUUUGGUCGAGCAAACUCACUUGAAUUAACUUCA